GUGAAUUUUGAUUGACACAGGCUGAUUAUAUCCUUGGUAAUAACCCGGCGGAUAUGAGCUACUUGGUUGGAUAUGAAGCAAAAUAUCCUCUUCAUGUUCACCAGAGGCACUUCCAUUGCUUCAAUCUUUUCUCUUCACAGUGAGGUUGGCUGCACUCAAGGAUUUGAGCUGUGGUAUAACCGUGCUGAGUCAAAUCCUAAUGUCAUCUGUAGUGCCCUCGUGGGUGGUCCAGAUAAAAAUGAUGGCUUCUCUGAUGACAGAUCCAAUUAUGAACAAACUGAGCCUACACUUUCAGCUUCUGCUCCUCUUGUGGACAUCUUUGCUAAACUGCAGAGUUUGUAUUGUAAUAUAGGUGAAGGUUACAACCAUAAUGAAUCACCAAUGCCCCAACAAAAAACACAGUAAAUAUCAUUGAACUUGUUUAGUUCCUCGUCCAGAUGGUACAACCAAGAUGAAUCACAAGUGCCCCAACAAAAAACACCGAGUGUCCCGGUGCAAUUUCUUCUCUCAAUAAGUAGCACAUGGACUGUUGGAGGUGCAACCUACUACCGUCACAGGCUCUUUAUGGGGUCUCUCUUCAACAGAAGAAAAGGACACCUAUGAACUUCCUCAAUGGCAGAAGGUUUUGAACCCUCGCUCUGAGUGUAUAUUUGUAUAUGACCCCAGGAUAAAGUUUCCAUUAAAAGCUUCCAAUGAUCAUUUUUAGAGGCCACGUCGACAAAGGAAACACUUAUUACACAAGUUUAAUUUGAUAGUUAAACUUCGAUCAAUCCAUGAUUGUAAUUUUGUAUUAUCAAUUAAUUUUGUAUUAUCAAUUUAUCAACCCAGUUCAUACCUUACUGUCCACACUUAAAUUGUAAUAUCAGUUUCCGAAACCUUCCUAUUUGAUCCUAUAAACAAUCAAUAUAUGAAAAGUUACCAACGAAUCU